rnacentral:rRNA from 1 species
GGGGGAUAUUGCACAAUGGGGGAAACCCUGAUGCAGCGACGCCGCGUGGAGGAAGAAGGUUUUCGGAUUGUAAACUCCUGUCGUUAGGGACGAUAAUGACGGUACCUAACAAGAAAGCACCCGGCUAACUACGUGCCAGCAGCCGCGGUAAAACGUAGGGUGCAAGCGUUGUCCGGAAUUACUGGGUGUAAAGGGAGCGCAGGCGGGAAGACAAGUUGGAAGUGAAAACCAUGGGCUCAACCCAUGAAUUGCUUUCAAAACUGUUUUUCUUGAGUAGUGCAGAGGUAGAUGGAAUUCCCGGUGUAGCGGUGGAAUGCGUAGAUAUCGGGAGGAACACCAGUGGCGAAGGCGGUCUACUGGGCACCAACUGACGCUGAGGCUCGAAAGCAUGGGUAGCAAACAGGAUUAGAUACCCUGGUAGUCCAUGCCGUAAACGAUGAUUACUAGGUGUUGGGGGAUUGACCCCCUCAGUGCCGCAGUUAACACAAUAAGUAAUCCACCUGGGGAGUAC